GCAUCGGAGACUGGAAAGAUGCUGAGAGAUGGCACCUCCCAAUCCUGCAGCUUCACACAGGGGGAAACCGAGGCCUGCAGGGUGAAGAUGAUGAAACAGAGGAUCAGAGAGGUGAUGCGACUUGCCCAAGUGAUAACAGAACAGAUUCACAGGCUGCCUCCUCGGCUCCCAUCAAUUUUUCCCUUCAAGUUGCUCUCACGUCCAGAUUUCAGAAAUAGUCUAUGAAUGGAGAGAUACAGCACAGCCUGUGAAAAGAAAGACUGGACCCAGAAGAUUUAAAUUUAAUUGAACUUAAUUAAAUUUAGAGUUUUGAAAAGAAAUAAGAAAAAUGACUUCUAGAAGAAUAGAAGCCUUUCAGAAAACAGGGGUUGAGCCAA
rnacentral:lncRNA from 1 species